UACGUAGGGUGCGAGCGUUGUCCGGAAUUAUUGGGCGUAAAGAGCUCGUAGGCGGUUUGUUGCGUCGGCCGUGAAAAUCCGGGGCUCAACCCCGGACUUGCGGUGGGUACGGGCAGACUAGAGUGAUGUAGGGGAGACUGGAAUUCCUGGUGUAGCGGUGAAAUGCGCAGAUAUCAGGAGGAACACCGAUGGCGAAGGCAGGUCUCUGGGCAUUAACUGACGCUGAGGAGCGAAAGCAUGGGGAGCGAACAGG
rnacentral:rRNA from 1 species